rnacentral:rRNA from 1 species
AGUGAACGCUGGCGGUAGGCCUAACACAUGCAAGUCGAACGGCAGCACAGUAAGAGCUUGCUCUUACGGGUGGCGAGUGGCGGACGGGUGAGGAAUACAUCGGAAUCUACUUUUUCGUGGGGGAUAACGUAGGGAAACUUACGCUAAUACCGCAUACGACCUACGGGUGAAAGUAGGGGAUCUUCGGACCUUGCGCGAUUGAAUGAGCCGAUGUCGGAUUAGCUAGUUGGCGGGGUAAAGGCCCACCAAGGCGACGAUCCGUAGCUGGUCUGAGAGGAUGAUCAGCCACACUGGAACUGAGACACGGUCCAGACUCCUACGGGAGGCAGCAGUGGGGAAUAUUGGACAAUGGGCGCAAGCCUGAUCCAGCCAUACCGCGUGGGUGAAGAAGGCCUUCGGGUUGUAAAGCCCUUUUGUUGGGAAAGAAAAGCAGCAGGUUAAUACCCCGCUGUUCUGACGGUACCCAAAGAAUAAGCACCAGCUAACUUCGUG